CUCCUCUUCCAGAGGUACCAAGGGACACCUUGGGGGGUCUCUUGAGUCCAUCGCGCUCCCUGCAUGUCUUCACCCAGAGCGUCUGCCUGCGGGCUGUCUGUAGCCCCUCGCUGGAAAUGGGGCGGCAGAACAAACCCCGGGAUUCUCUCUGUCAGCUGGUGAAUUCCAUAAGGAGGGAAAUGCUGCAAGAGAAGGAGAAACCAGUUCAUUAUUUUGCCAGAUGAAGUGGGAGCCUGAAAGCAUCUUUGGGUCUUAUACACACACACACACCCCCCCCACACAUACCACACACACACACACCACACACACACCCCCACACACACCCCCCACACACACACCCCCACCACACACACACCACACACACCCCCACACACACACCACACACACACCACCCCACACACACCACCACACACCACCACACACACCCACCACACACACACCCACCACACACACACACCACACCACACACACCCACGCCACACACUACACACCACACACACACACCCCACACACUACACACCACACACACACACCCCACACACUACACACCACACACACCCCCCACAUACCACACACACACCCCACAUACCACACACACACCCCACAUACCACACACACCACACACAUACCACACACACCACACACACACCCCCCGCAUACCACACACACACACCACACACACACCACACACACCACACACCACACACACCCCCACCACACAUACACACCACACACACCCCCACCACACAUACACACCAGCACACCACACAUACACACCACACACACCACACACACACCACACACAUACACACCACACACACACCCCCCACACACACACCACACCACACACACACUACACACACCACACACACCAACACACACCACAUACCACACACACUAUACACACCACACACACAUCACACACCCACACACCAACAUACACCCCACACACACCCCACACACACACCACACGCCACACACACACCACACACACACCAUACACACCCCCCACACACACCAUACACACCCCCCACACACCCCACACACACCCCACACACCACAUACCACACACACCACAUACACACACGACACACACAUCACACACACACCAACAUAACCCCACACACACCACACGCCACACACACACCACACACACACCACACCACACAAACACCACACCACACACACACCACACACACCCCACACACCACACACACCCCCACCACACACACACCCACCACACACCCACCACACACCACACCCACACACACCACACCACACCACACACACACACCACACCACACACACACCCCCACACACACCCCC
rnacentral:lncRNA from 1 species